AGGGAAUCUUCCACAAUGGACGCAAGUCUGAUGGAGCAACGCCGCGUGAGUGAAGAAGGUCUUCGGAUCGUAAAGCUCUGUUGUUGGUGAAGAAGGAUAGAGGCAGUAACUGGUCUUUAUUUGACGGUAAUCAACCAGAAAGUCACGGCUAACUACGUGCCAGCAGCCGCGGUAAUACGUAGGUGGCAAGCGUUGUCCGGAUUUAUUGGGCGUAAAGCGAGCGCAGGCGGAAUGAUAAGUCUGAUGUGAAAGCCCACGGCUCAACCGUGGAACUGCAUCGGAAACUGUCAUUCUUGAGUGCAGAAGAGGAGAGUGGAACUCCAUGUGUAGCGGUGGAAUGCGUAGAUAUAUGGAAGAACACCAGUGGCGAAGGCGGCUCUCUGGUCUGCAACUGACGCUGAGGCUCGAAAGCAUGGGUAGCGAACAGGAUUAGAUACCCUGGUAGUCCAUGCCGUAAACGAUGAGCGCUAGGUGUUGGGGC
rnacentral:rRNA from 1 species